UACAGAGGUCUCAAGCGUUGUUCGGAUUCAUUGGGCGUAAAGGGUGCGUAGGCGGCGCGGUAAGUCGGGUGUGAAAUCUCGGAGCUUAACUCCGAAACUGCAUUCGAUACUGCCGUACUUGAGGACUGGAGAGGAGACUGGAAUUUACGGUGUAGCGGUGAAAUGCGUAGAUAUCGGGAAGAACACCUAUGGCGAAGGCAGCUCUCUGGGACGGUACUGACGCUGAGACGCGAAAGCGUGGGGAGCGAACAGG
rnacentral:rRNA from 1 species